CCUACGGGAGGCAGCAGUAGGGAAUCUUCCACAAUGGGCGAAAGCCUGAUGGAGCAACGCCGCGUGAGUGAUGAAGGCCUUCGGGUUGUAAAACUCUGUCAUUCGGGACGAACCGGAGUCUGAGGAAAUGCAGACUCUCUGACGGUACCGGAGGAGGAAGCCCCGGCUAACUACGUGCCAGCAGCCGCGGUAAUACGUAGGGGGCAAGCGUUGUCCGGAUUCACUGGGCGUAAAGCGCGCGCAGGCGGUGAUGUAAGUCUGAGGUGAAAACCCGAAGCUCAACUUCGGGACUGCCUUGGAUACUGCGUCACUUGAGGAUAGGAGAGGCAAGGGGAAUUCCACGUGUAGCGGUGAAAUGCGUAGAGAUGUGGAGGAACACCUGUGGCGAAGGCGCCUUGCUGGCCUAUUUCUGACGCUGAGGCGCGAAAGCGUGGGGAGCAAACAGGAUUAGAUACCCUGGUAGUCCACGCUGUAAACGAUGAGUGCUAGGUGUAGGUGGGCUCAUACCCAUCUGUGCCGAAGCUAACGCAUUAAGCACUCCGCCUGGGGAGUACGGUCGCAAGACUGAAACUCAAAGAUUAGACGGCGNGAGAGNGCGACGGACGACACGAGGGAGGAGGAG
rnacentral:rRNA from 1 species